UUCAUCCCUCUCCCGUGGAACUCAUCAUCAGCCAUGCAGUCAGUGUUGUUCAAGUAGCCCGUCAAUGAAAGUGUGUGUCUUUGAAGGGACCAUCCAAGAGUGAUAAAGUGUCACUCUGUCAGUGUAGGUCUGGUGUCUGCAGUGUCUCCUGCGUUUGUGAAGAUGUGGAUGCACUGGGCUGAUAUCACAGUGAGUAGACUUUUCUCUACCUUUGGAUAUUUUGGGCUUUGAAAGUUCUACAGGCAAUUGAUUUUCAUUGUGAUUCCUACAUUCUUUGCUUUCCAGCUACUAAUCAUCACUACCCACAAUACUCAGGUGAUGAGAUCCUCUGUUGAAAUAACUUUGUAUAAUAAAAAAGUGCGUCCUGCUUCUCCAGGUUGAAGAGUCCUUGUGGGAGCUGAUGGGAGUUUGUUUGAAAGGUUUCAUUCCUGCAACUGUACUGUCUUUGCUAUUGACUACGGUAAGCCAAUAAGUUACAAUAUGAACACUUUAAAGGAAAAAGUUUUGCAACAAAUGCUUUUGUAAUUAUUUUUAUUCUUUCUGACUUAAAUUCUAAAACUGAAACAACAUAAAAUUACUUCUUAAACUGAAACUGAACUGAACUCUUUACCAUACAGAUGAGAGGAAUGGAUUUUUUAUUUAUUUAUUGUGUUCACGUUGUCAAAAGUGUUUAAAAAGUCAUUUUGAAAGUGUUUUCCAGCAUCUGGUCACACAGAUUUUGAAGGAUUUGUUUUUAGAUUUCAUUUAUGCUUUAUUGAGGCAGAUUAAACAUUUUAGAUGUUUUAUUUAAUAUAACUCUUUAACAGUAUACUGUAACUUUAUUUUUUUAUUUGAGCUCCCUGCCGUGUUUAAACUACAUACUAAAAUGUGUGCCAAUUUUUUCCCCUCAUACUUUUGAUCUUGUUGUUAUUUAUUGCCUGUUCAUGUUAUAAACAUCUAUAUUCAUUCUGCCUAAUAGUUUUUUUAUCUGGGGCCCCUGGUUCAGUCUGCUUUGGACAACUCUGACGGGUUCUCUGGGGAACUUCACUCUGCCCUGGGUAUUUAUAAGAUGUGCAGAGUUGGAGGAUGUGCGUUAAAGAUGCAGCGUGGCUCAGGAGCCAGGUAGUGGCGCCAGUGAUGGAGGACGGAACAUGCUGCCGAUGUUGGUGCCUUGCACUGGAGCCACAGCUCUUAUCUUCAUUGCGCCUCUGUUCUUUGGUGUUGGUAUGACAGGAAACUUUGGGGCCACAAUGACAUCAUACUCUACUAAAGCACGGCAAAAUGCACCAGUUGACCUGCAGGAGUUUUGCUGUUCCUGUUAUAAUGUUUGCAAACUUUAUCUUAAUUGUACUCUCGUUCUAGCUCUUCUUCACCACAUCAGAGAGCAGCUUCACCUUGGAAAGGACAAGGUGAGUGCCAUCUUCCUAGGGGCAGGUCAUAUUAUGGGUCCAGUUUUGUGCCAUUCAUUCUGCAACAGCCAGGGUCUCCCUGACACUGGUUCCGCUCUGAGCCGCCCUCAGCGUUCAGCCGUGCUGAUCUGCUAUCUGACUGGAGUCCUGCUGUUUCUGGUGGUGCUCUUCCCCUUCACAGACCCCUUCCUCUAUGGCUGUCUGCAGCCUCGCCGCCUCUCAAGCAUUGGAAUGUUGAUUGAGAAAAUGUCAAAUACUCAAGAAAGUCAUGAAAAAUAAAGGUUUGAGACAGAUUUUAACUUUAAUAUAAUUUUUUUUCAGUCAUGAUUAAGACUUUUCUGAAGUGCGUGCAUGAUUUUUGCGGGUGGCAGGAGAAAGAUCCCAGUGCUUCAGACAUUUCCUGCAUGGUUCAAAAAUAUUUCCUACUGUAUGAAACUUAACACCAGCACAAAACUCCCUGGCUACAACAAAGUAGCAGAAGCGUGCAUGAGUGCAAGCAUAGAAAACCAGAUGGAAUAUGGUGGUGAAGAAGAAAAAGAAAAGCAGGCAAUAGAGGACACGAUCACAAAGAAAGACGCGGAGGCAGGCAAAACAUGCAGACAUCGUUGCCAAUAAAUACACCAACAGAACCAAAUUGGAGAGAGACAGCUAUUUAAAGUCAUGUUUUUAAAUCAGACAAGGCAAUGAAAGCCAGAGGAAGACUUAAACAGAGAGGAGUGGAAAACAAGUGGUUCCAGCCAGAAGCAAUAAGAAAAGGUAGAGUGGGGGAGCGCAGGGAUAAAGAUUGUUCUUCCCUGGGGAAAUUGAAAAUGUGGAGUAGCAGAGCAGAGGAAAAGGGAAAGGUCAUGCAGGGUAUGUUGAAAUGUCUGGGAGGUGAAAGGUUGUGUUGAAGCUCCAGAUUUAUGAGGUAGGUUUAUAAGUAAUAAAACCUUUGCGACGUAAAAUUGGGCAAACAUCAUAAAUUCACAUGUAUGUGUCUUUUCUUUUUCUCCACAGAUUCCAGAUGCGUUUUAUUUCUUGUCUUUUUUUUACAGUUUGUAGCUGUAAA